rnacentral:rRNA from 1 species
AUUGAACGCUGGCGGUAGGCCUAACACAUGCAAGUCGAGCGGCAGCAGAGUGAUUGCUUCUGGUUACAGCGGCGGAGGGGCGGGUAAUGGCUAGGAACAUGCGUGUUUGCGGGGGCUAGGGUGCGGACACGGGGGAUAUUACGGUAAUAGCGCAGAGGACGAAAGGGGGGGAUCUUGGGACCUUCGGCCCUUGGACGAGUGAAGGAGGCGAUGUCGGAUUAGCUAGUUGGCGGGGUAAAGGGCCACCAAGGCGACGAUCCGUAGCUGGUCUGAGAGGAUGAUCAGCCACACUGGAACUGAGACACGGUCCAGACUCCUACGGGAGGCAGCAGUGGGGAAUAUUGGACAAUGGGCGCAAGCCUGAUCCAGCCAUGCCGCGUGUGUGAAGAAGGCCUUCGGAUUGUAAAGCACUUUUAUUGGGAAAGAAAAGCAGUAGGUUAAUACCUUGCUGUUCUGACGUUACCAACAGAAUAAGCACCGGCUAACUUCGUG